rnacentral:rRNA from 1 species
AGUGAACGCUGGCGGUAGGCCUAGCACAUGCAAGUCGAACGGCAGCACAGUAAGAACUUGCUCUUACGGGUGGCGAGUGGCGGACGGGUGAGGAAUACAUCGGAAUCUACUUUUUCGUGGGGGAUAACGUAGGGAAACUUACGCUAAUACCGCAUACGACCUACGGGUGCAAUCCGGGGAUCUUCGGACCUUGCUCGAUUGAAUGAGCCGAUGUCGGGUUAGCUAGGUGGCGGGGUAAAGGCCCACCAAGGCGACGAUCCGUAGCUGGUCUGAUAGGAUGAUCAGCCACACUGGAACUGAGACACGGUCCAGACUCCUACGGGAGGCAGCAGUGGGGAAUAUUGGACAAUGGGCGCAAGCCUGAUCCAGCCAUACCGCGUGGGUGAAGAAGGCCUUCGGGUUGUAAAGCCCUUUUGUUGGGAAAGAAAAGCAGCAGGUUAAUACCCCGCUGUUCUGACGGUACCCAAAGAAUAAGCACCGGCUAACUUCGUG